ACUAUCCAUCCUUAGAGCACAGCUCUACUGUAAUGACUAUCCAUCCCUAGAGCACGGCUCUACUGUAAUGACUAUCCAUCCUUAGAGCACGGCUCCACUGUAAUGACUAUCCAUCACGGCUCCACUGUAAUGACUAUCCAUCCUUAGAGCACGGCUCCACUGUAAUGACUAUCCAUCACGGCUCCACUGUAAUGACUAUCCAUCACGGCUCUAAUGUAAUGACUAUCCAUCCUUAGAGCACGGCUCUACUGUAAUGACUAUCCAUCCUUAGAGCACGGUAAUAGUAUUAUUCUAGAUUGUUGGUAAUAGUAUUAUUCUAGACUGUUGGUAAUAGCACUUUUCUAGACUAUUGGUAAUAGUAUUAUUCAAGACUAUUGGUAAUAGCAUUAUUCUAGACUAUUGGUAAUAGCAU
rnacentral:lncRNA from 13 species